rnacentral:tRNA from 2 species
GCUUCUGUAGCUAAGUGGUUAAGGCGUCGCACUUGUAAUGCGAAGAUCACAGGUUCAAAUCCUGUCCGAAGCA